UGGCCAGUGAUGAUGAUUUAUAUCUAAUUGCCUGAUACUUCUAUGAAGGCAAUUUCAGUCACUACCUCAUCUGAGGCCA